UGAUAGAGGCGCGGCUGACAUGAGUAGCCCCGACAAACGGCAGGAGACCGUGAGGGUGAAAGGGAAGGCCGCCGAAGGGUCGACCGGUUCCCUGACCGGUUGAUUUCUGGGUCGUCGGGAAAUACCCGGCGGACUGUCGUCCGAAAGGACGGAGUGCUGUC
rnacentral:ncRNA from 1 species